GACCUGUUGGUGAAUGGUUCACACCCACUUUGUUUUAAAAGUCCAUGACUGGUUGAACAGUGGGAGGCCCUGGUUCAAUUCCGGGCCAGGUCU